GACGAACGCUGGCGGCGUGCUAACACAUGCAAGUCGAACGGAAAGGCCCUGCUUUUGUGGGGUGCUCGAGUGGCGAACGGGUGAGUAACACGUGAGUAACCUGCCCUUGACUUUGGGAUAACUUCAGGAAACUGGGGCUAAUACCGGAUAGGAGCUCCUGCUGCAUGGUGGGGGUUGGAAAGUUUCGGCGGUUGGGGAUGGACUCGCGGCUUAUCAGCUUGUUGGUGGGGUAGUGGCUUACCAAGGCUUUGACGGGUAGCCGGCCUGAGAGGGUGACCGGCCACAUUGGGACUGAGAUACGGCCCAGACUCCUACGGGAGGCAGCAGUGGGGAAUAUUGCACAAUGGGCGGAAGCCUGAUGCAGCAACGCCGCGUGCGGGAUGACGGCCUUCGGGUUGUAAACCGCUUUCGCCUGUGACGAAGCGUGAGUGACGGUAAUGGGUAAAGAAGCACCGGCUAACUACGUGCCAGCAGCCGCGGUGAUACGUAGGGUGCGAGCGUUGUCCGGAUUUAUUGGGCGUAAAGGGCUCGUAGGUGGUUGAUCGCGUCGGAAGUGUAAUCUUGGGGCUUAACCCUGAGCGUGCUUUCGAUACGGGUUGACUUGAGGAAGGUAGGGGAGAAUGGAAUUCCUGGUGGAGCGGUGGAAUGCGCAGAUAUCAGGAGGAACACCAGUGGCGAAGGCGGUUCUCUGGGCCUUUCCUGACGCUGAGGAGCGAAAGCGUGGGGAGCGAACAGGCUUAGAUACCCCGGUAGUCCACGCUGUAAACGGUGGGUACUAGGUGUGGGGUCCAUUCCACGGGUUCCGUGCCGUAGCUAACGCUUUAAGUACCCCGCCUGGGGAGUACGGCCGCAAGGCUAAAACUCAAAGGAAUUGACGGGGCCCCGCACAAGCGGCGGAGCAUGCGGAUUAAUUCGAUGCAACGCGUAGAACCUUACCUGGGUUUGACAUGGAUCGGGAGUGCUCAGAGAUGGGUGUGCCUCUUUUGGGGUCGGUUCACAGGUGGUGCAUGGCUGUCGUCAGCUCGUGUCGUGAGAUGUUGGGUUAAGUCCCGCAACGAGCGCAACCCUUGUUCACUGUUGCCAGCACGUUAUGGUGGGGACUCAGUGGAGACCGCCGGGGUCAACUCGGAGGAAGGUGGGGAUGACGUCAAGUCAUCAUGCCCCUUAUGUCCAGGGCUUCACGCAUGCUACAAUGGCUGGUACAGAGAGUGGCGAGCCUGUGAGGGUGAGCGAAUCUCGGAAAGCCGGUCUCAGUUCGGAUUGGGGUCUGCAACUCGACCUCAUGAAGUCGGAGUCGCUAGUAAUCGCAGAUCAGCAACGCUGCGGUGAAUACGUUCCCGGGGCU
rnacentral:rRNA from 1 species